UCGAACGGUAAGGCCCCUUCGGGGGUACACGAGUGGCGAACGGGUGAGUAACACGUGGGUGAUCUGCCCUGCACUCUGGGAUAAGCCUGGGAAACUGGGUCUAAUACCGGAUAUGAGCUCCUGUCGCAUGGCGGGGGUUGGAAAGGUUUACUGGUGCAGGAUGGGCCCGCGGCCUAUCAGCUUGUUGGUGGGGUAAUGGCCUACCAAGGCGACGACGGGUAGCCGGCCUGAGAGGGCGACCGGCCACACUGGGACUGAGACACGGCCCAGACUCCUACGGGAGGCAGCAGUGGGGAAUAUUGCACAAUGGGCGAAAGCCUGAUGCAGCGACGCCGCGUGAGGGAUGACGGCCUUCGGGUUGUAAACCUCUUUCAGCAGGGACGAAGCGAGAGUGACGGUACCUGCAGAAGAAGCACCGGCCAACUACGUGCCAGCAGCCGCGGUAAUACGUAGGGUGCGAGCGUUGUCCGGAAUUACUGGGCGUAAAGAGCUCGUAAGCGGUUUGUCGCGUCGUCCGUGAAAACUU
rnacentral:rRNA from 2 species